AGAAACAAUGUUAAAUCAGUACAGAGACCAAGAUGGCCAAGUUGAUGCUUCUUACCGGUAAGUACAAAUCUGAAAUUCAUAAAAUGGUGUAACUUUUCUCUGCUGGUGGAAGAAGCUCAUUCUGUAAUUCUCAUUCUUUACUUUUCCAUGCAUAUUCUAUUAUUUAAAAGAGAACAGCUUUUAAUUAACUGAAUGGAUUUCAAAAUAACUGAGCAAGUUUAUUUUAUUCUUGCUAUUUUAUAGCAAAGAUUUCAUUCACUACCAUAUUUCCUUACAAAACCAGAAGUGUUGCUUCCCUCCAUUCCAUAGUGUGGAGAGAAAGCUUUCUUUGUUCGGGAUAUUUGGAAAUCAGGAAUUCCCUCCAUUGGAGAAUAGCUCAGUGGAAAAGCACAUGCUUUGCAUGCAAAGAGUCUCUGGUUCAGUCCCUUGUGUCUCCAGAUAAGGUUGGGGAAAAUUCCUGGAGACCCAAGUAUGUUCCCUGUAAUACUGACAACUGAAAAUCUUGCAGAUUUUUAUUCAGUUGUAUCAACCCCUUCUUUUCCCACUAUUAAUUUCAGUUUUUGAAAAUUCCUGCAUAAUACUUAGCAAUGAAGUCCAUGGAUACCUUUGAGGUACAAAUUAUGGAAGAAAAUGAAUUAUUCCUCCUCCAAGUAGCAUGCACAGUGUAAAUUAUACCUCCAUUACAAUUCAUUUGAAAAUUCAAGCAGUUAAAGUGCUUCUAUUUAAAAUCGUGUUUGAAUAACUAUAUAAUGUAGCGGUCAAUAUAAGGCCUACAACAAAGUCUUUCAUCAAAACAGAAAUUGUUUGCCACUCUUCUCAAUGUUAAAUAGUGAUACACUAUGAUUUCUAAACAACUCAUAAAAGUUUAUACAUAUUUAACUUACAAAUUAUUCCCUUUUUCUUUAUAGGUCUGGUGCUCCUGCUGAAUGCACAAAUAGGUAUGGAAAGCAGCUCUUUAAAUUAAUGUCUAUGUGUCACCUAGUCGCUUCCUGUGUUGGAGUGACAGCCUGGGUGAUGGGCCAUUAAGGAAAACAAAGGAAAGGGGCUCUAUGUGAGGCAGCAAAUGGGUGGGCCCUUCCCUCAACUCAUAGAUAGUUAGAAGGACAAAGCCUGAGUUUAGAGUUGAGUUGCAGUGAUGUGACCUAGAGGUAAAGCACCUCUUGAGAGCAAUGUUUGAUUUCCAUUUGAAUCCAAGGCUGUAAUUUUGGGAGAAACAAGAGCUUCUGUGGGUGUUAAUGCUGUGAACCCCUCCAUCAUAGGUGCAGGUUGCAUAUAUGUGUAAAUAAACCCAAUAUUAUAAAAACACCACAGUCUCCACAGUGGCAGGCUGUGGUCUUUUCAGUGGAGCCCAUAGCCUUUUGUGGUAUUUUGCAUUUCCCUAAACGUUGCAACACAGUUCCCAGCUUUCAAAACCAUUAAAGGGGAUUUUGAAAUGCAUAUUUUGAAAGAAAAUAUGUUUAGAAAAUUAGUGCAUUUACAUUACACUAAGCUGCAUGUGUCUAUCUCUAAGAAUAUUGCAGCAAUCCCUCCUAAAUAUCACAGCAAUGAAUGCUCUUCUGCACCUACUAUAAUGACAUGCCGAAUCUGCAAUAUAUACUAAGACCUGGCAGAUAUACAUGUUUUAUUAUUGCUGAAGAAAAUACGCACUUGUCUUUCUUCUCCUCACCCUUCAGUCUUGCUCAAUUCCAUUUAAACUUUUAUUAUAACCUGUCCUAUUUGUCUUGAUAGGUUCUGCCUAUGUGCUAUCAUGCUACUUCACCAACUGGGGCCAAUACAGACCAGGCCUUGGGAAAUACAAGCCCGACAACAUUGACCCUUGUCUGUGUACUCACCUGAUCUAUGCCUUUGCUGGGAUGCGCAACAAUGAGAUUGCAACCAUUGAAUGGAAUGACGUCACUCUUUAUAAAUCUUUCAAUGGCUUGAAAAAUCAGUGAGUAUCCAUGAAUAAUGGUCACCCGCCCUUCCCACAUUCUGCUUCUGCCUUGUUUAUAUGAGGCUCAACUGGAACAGAAGGCACUAUCAUAUGCCUUCCUGCCCAGAGGGAUCCAAUGGCCAGUGUUGUAACCUAGCUGAACCUAGCGCUACAUAGAACAAAGAAGCAAGAAAGUUUGAGUACAUGUGGAGCUACGAUACUACAAGGUUGUCAGCUGAUGUUGGGAUGCAAACCAAUAAUAAAAAGUGACUCAUUCUAGACUACUUGACAGAUCGUCUGACAUAAGAAAAUGGGGUUCAAGAUUAUAAAAACAAACACAAAAUAGAUAGCAAGAUGGCACCAACUCGGGACUCCUUGUUCCAGAAAUAGGGUAGAUUUAAUCUCUGCAAUCUCUUCCAUGACAGGAAUGGGGACCUGAAGACUCUUCUGGCAAUUGGAGGCUGGAACUUUGGAACAGCACCGUAAGUUGAAGCAACGCUUGCAUACUUCAUCCUAGUAAUAGAGAAAAGAAUGCACAUAAUAAGUAGGUAAUUAUCUUCUACCCUCUUAUGGCCACAUUACAGAUUCACUGCAAUGGUUGCCACUCCUGAGACCCGCCAGACCUUCAUCAACUCUGUCAUCACUUUCUUGCGCCAGUACGAGUUUGAUGGGCUGGACUUUGACUGGGAGUACCCUGGCUCUAGAGGCAGCACCCCUCAGGAUAAGUCCCUCUUUACUUUAUUGGUUAAGGUAAAACCACUGAUUAUGUUGUUCUUAUUUCACCACCACCACCCAGAAAGGGAGAAGCCAGAUUGGAUAGUUUAGCAUCAAUUUAUCUCUGCCUUUAUUCUCCUAACCUAGGGUGGCUAAAACCAAAUACUGUGGACCACAACACCCACUGCUCCUGACCGUUGACCAUUGCUGGCUAAGCUGAUGGGAGUUGUAGUCCACAAUAAAGCGCACCAUAUUGCCUACUGCUGCCCUAAAGUCAAGGAAGGAAGUCACUCUCACCAGCAGAGAUGAGUGGUCCCGUUGCCAUAGCAGCAUAACAAUAAUGCUACAUAGGGCUACAACAUUUAUGCUGCUAUCCUACACACAACCACUUGGGUGUAAGCCCUACAGAAGAUGGUGGAGCCUGUUUCUAAGUUAGCAUGUGUACGACUGUCCCAUUACUCAGUUAAUAGGUUUUAUCAAUCUUUUAAAACCUUGCUAUCAAUUAAAAAUUGCCUCAGAUUGAUGGGGUCUUUAUUUUUAAUAUCAUUAUCUACAAAAACCAAAACUGGUGAGCAUCAUUUUAGAAGAGACAGGCUUUCAUCUAUCUCACAGAGAAGUGAGCGCCUCUUCUAAAAUGGUGCUUCCUGUGACAACACCUAAAACAGGAGUGGGGCAACUUGUGGUCCUCCAGUUGUUGUUUCACUACAGCUCCAAUCAGCAUAAGCUAGCAUGGCCAGUGGUCAGGGAUGGUGGUAGACCAACAACAUCUGCAGGGCCACAGGUUCCUCACCUCUUAGUUUUUUCAAGAAAUUUUUAUUCAUAGGCAUUUUUUAUAGUCUGAAAUUGUCACUUUAAUGAUUUUGUUGACUAAAAUUCAUAGGAUUGACUCAAAACCCGAACAGUAAGAAGAGUGUGGGGCUCUGUCAGAAAAUUCACAUUUACCUUACUGUUUGCUUUGUAGGAAAUGUUGGAAGCCUUUGAGAAGGAAGCCAAACAAGUGAACAGACCCAGACUCAUGGUCACUGCUGCUGUUGCUGCUGGUCUUUCCAAUAUUGAGUCAGGCUACCAGAUUCCUGAGCUUGGCCAGUAAGUACAGUAUUUUAGGUACUUUGUCUCUCUCUCUCUCUCUCUCUCUCUCUCUCUCUCUCUCUAAAUUUAACUUCUGUCUUUUGUAUAUGCAUAGGUGAAGAUACCCUUACAAUUAAUGUUAUUUUGAAUCAUCUGAUGUGUGUCAUAUUGUUUAUCAGUUGCACACUGUGCAUUAAAGUGAAACCAAGCCAGUAUGUCUCAUUGGUAAAAUCACUAUGCCAGCGUCACUGUCAUAGAGGCAGCUGCAGUAUUAGCAUACUGGCUGGUUUUAGGAGAACAGUGUACCUUACAGCCAGUCCUAGUACACAGAGUUACUUCAGGAGACAAGGCAGCCACAGAUACUAUUUCCUCUGUUGAUUACUUUAAUAAAGCACCAAAACAUUGAUAGUGCUAUAGAUAUUCAUCCUGAAGGACAAACCUAAGAAGGUUGGCUAAAAAAACCCAAUGAUCAAAUAUUCCAAAGUCAAAGUCACAAUAAUGAUCUGUUUUGAAGAGCAAACUGUGCCUGUGAUGGGCUUACACUAUGGAACUGCAUUUAUGGGUCUAAUUAUACAUCAAAUGCUAUCAUAUAUAGUCAGAAAAAAGAAUGGUGGUGCUACUGCAUAGCAGAAAAUGGGCUAUGGUCUAGAGAGGUAAUGUUUAUGGAAGAUGAGACUGCAAAAGCCUUAGAAGCAUAGAGUUUAUUCAACAUAUUACUAAUAGUUGCAAAGAAGAAGAAGAAGAACUGGACACAGAUACAUUUAAUCUCGUCACAGGUAUCUGGACUAUUUCCAUGUGAUGACCUAUGACUUCCAUGGCUCCUGGGAGAGAUACACUGGAGAGAACAGCCCUCUGUACAGAGGUCCUGCAGACACUGGUGGAAACAUCUACUUCAAUGUUGUAAGUUGAAAGUAGGGCUGGGGGAGACAUUUAAAGGUCAAUCUGCCUAAUUUGCACUUUUUGAAACAACAUGUAAACUGAAACAUAGCCAUCCCUUGAAAUUCACACUUUUCCAAAUAUUGCAAUGCAAUUCUUCAGGAAAAUAAUGUGUCAAAAGUACAUAUACUAGAAUAAGAUGUGCAUUAAAAAAUAAUACGCUAGUGAACAUAACAUACAAAAAGGCAUUGUAUUAGGGAAAAUUGCUUUGCAAAAAAAAUGUGUAUAAGGCAAAAGUGCUUGCUUUAAUGAAAAUCAUACGCUGAUACGGAAAUGUGGAGAACCAAAUUUAAGGGUGAAAAAAUAAGAAACUGAGAGAGAAAACCUGCAACUGGCAGAUUCACUCAUCCCAAGCUGGAAGCCUAUUUUUAUAGGGUGCUUCAAAGCCUGCCAGGAACUAAACCUAAAAAAAAUGAAGAAAUUAACAUUCCACUUUGCAAGCAGAGAGUAACACAUGAUUUGCCUUUGUAGGACUAUGCCAUGAACUACUGGAAGAAGAAUGGUGCCCCAGCUGAGAAACUCAUUGUUGGAUUCCCAACUUAUGGACACACCUUCAUCCUCAGCGAUCCAUCCAACACAGCUGUUGGUGCUCCCACAACUGGCGCUGGGCCUGCUGGACCAUACACAAGACAAGCUGGCUUCUGGGCUUACUAUGAGGUUUGUUCACUUUUCCCACCACAAUCCAUUAAAACAUUUAUUUGCAUCACACUAUACAGAUGAAGAAUAUAAUUCUAAAGAUAGGCCAAUCAAAUAAGAAAUCCUACAAAGAUGCUACAACUAAAUUUUGGCCUAAUAGCUUGGAAAAUAUGCUGUUUGCACAAAACCAGUGGUGCAAAAAAUGUUUCUAAAGCUUAGUAGCCAUUCCUCCAUAGGGAUCAAGGGACCAUUUUUUGUAUGGAUAUCACUAGCUAGGGCACCUGGGUUUUAGCAUUUCUGCUCAAAAUUAUACUGAGAUGAAGUAAUGUGGCUAAUGCACACUGGUUUUUGGGGUAGGCAGGAAUUUCAGGUAAAUGAGGACAAGAUAAUAACUUUUUUCACUGUGCAGCCAGCAAGAUAUUCUCAACUCUUGAUACACAUUGUGCCUCCUUUUUAAGCCAUGGAGGAAAUACUUUAUGAAGCCUAUGCAGAUUUGUGCAUUGAUACUUUCAGUUCACUUCUCUGCACUAUGCGCAUAGCAUUAUGAGACAGCAACCAAGACAGUCCUGCAAUGAUUUGCAACGUGCCUUUUUUGUUUCCUCUGUUAGAUCUGCACCUUCCUGAAGAAUGGAGCCACUCAAGCUUGGGAUGCUCCUCAAGAUGUGCCUUAUGCCUACAAGGGAAACGAGUGGCUGGGGUAUGACAACAUUAAGAGCUUCCAGAUCAAGGUAUGGUACCAGUCUCACAAAAGCAUACAUUCAUUCUGGUGCAUUAGAAUGUCUUAGUAGGUUCAUCAAGAGUUUCAAAAUCAAGGUAUGAGGACUAUGGCUGAUGUAAUGCCACUAAGUACAGCUUUUCUAUAUAGUAGAUUGACUUGGGCAUCUUUCUUGGCAUCUGACAGGCUGAGUGGUUGAAGAAGAACAACUUUGCAGGUGCUAUGGUUUGGUCUCUUGACUUGGAUGACUUCACUGGUACUUUCUGCAACCAAGGCAAAUACCCCUUGAUCACCACCCUGAAGAACGCUCUCGGACUGCAGAGUGCUAGUAAGUAGCAGCAGCAGCAGGAAAAGUUCUCAAAACGAUUGUGAAAGCCAAAGUUCCAGCAAAAGUUCAUAAUGCUGAAAAACAAAUCACUGUUACUUAUUUUAGAACUAACCUCCAAACUGAGGUACCAAGAUCAGUUAAGUCACUUUUAGGCUUGUUUAGAACAUGCUCGAUACGUUUCGAUAUCAAUGGUAGCACUUAAAAAACAAAAACAAAAUAGAGAAUGAGAACAGUUGGAUUUGGAAGGUUUCGAAGGGCAAAAAAAUACAAUGCAUUAUUAAAGGAUGGGGGGGAAACAACCAAGAAGAAUUCACCACACCUAUAGAAUCAGGGACCGAUAAGACUCAGGGAGAAAGGGCUGCUGCAGUCCAGAGUGAAAGAGAAGGUAUAUUUUGGAGAUCAUAUCACUGGCACUGAAUGCAGAACCUAUGUAUUCAUAAAUUAAGAAUGUUGGAAGCUGCCUUAUGCUAGGACAGACUAUCAGUCCAUCUAGCUCAGUGUCAUCUAGACCACAGAUCUCAAGGGUCUUUCCCAUCACCAGGUUCUGGACCCUUUAAACUAAAAAUGCCAAAGGCUGAAGCAGGGACCUCCUGCAUGCAAAGCAUGUACUCUGCCACUGAGCUGUAGUUCCUGACCUACUCCACAGAUAGCCAAGUACUUUAGAUUUACAGCCACAGGGACCCUCAAGUUCUGGGAGGAUUUGAGCUGGACUGUACAACUCAUGACCCACCAUCUGUGUAUGAGGUUGAAUUAACCUUCAGUACUUGCUACCUGUUUGGAAACAGAAAAAGACAAGUUCUCAAAAAACUGCCAGGCCACAGUUUAUAGCUGGUGACCUGCAUUCAGCCCAAUGGAUCACAAGUCGUACAGAUCUAGAGUAGAAUGAGAAAUCAGAGGUCUUUUAAAUAAGAUUUUUAAAAGCCUUUUCCUUGUGCUCAUGAUUAAUUGGUGCCCUCUAGAUGUUUAGGAUUAGAAUUCCCAUAAUCCCUGACCAUUAGCCAGGCUGGCUGGAGCUGAUGGGAGUUUCAGAUCAGGAGAUCACCUUCUCUAUUCACACUGAUGUGGAUCACACACUAGGGAGAAAGUACAAGGCAGGUUUUCUUUAUGGAAAAAGCCAAACACAUGUCAUGUAGGCAGAAUCCCUUAAAUCAAGUUCAGAAUGAUGUAGAAUUCACAUUUUGAGCCAGUAGUGAUUAUUUGAGAGACGAAUCAGCUGAGAUGGCUUACCUUCUGCUUCUCUUCCAGGUUGCAAAGCCCCAUCCAAGGCCAUUGAGCCAAUCCCACCAGCCCCCAGCGGUGGUGGAGGAAGCUCCGGUGGCAGCCCAAGCAGUGGAUCUGGUGGCAGCCCAAGCAGUGGCUCCGGUGGCAGCCCCAGCACCGGAGGCAGUGGAUUCUGUGCUAGCAGAGCCGGAGGCCUGUACCCAGACCCAACAGACAAGAACAGCUUUUACCACUGUGUGAACGGCAGGACUUUCCUGCAGCAUUGCCAGACGGGUCUCGUCUUUGAUGCCAGCUGCUCCUGCUGCAACUGGGCAUGAACUGAUCAGGUUUUUUAACUCCAUAGCCUUCCCAAUCUGACAUUCCAUGUAGCUGUAAAAGUGAAAUAAAAUUCAGCAAAACCUAUG